UACAGAGGUCUCAAGCGUUGUUCGGAUUCAUUGGGCGUAAAGGGUGCGUAGGCGGCGCGGUAAGUCGGGUGUGAAAUCUCGGAGCUUAACUCCGAAACUGCAUUCGAUACUGCCGUGCUUGAGGACUGGAGAGGAGACUGGAAUUACGGUGUAGCGGUGAAAUGCGUAGAUAUCGUAAGGAAGACCAGUGGCGAAGGCGGGUCUCUGGACAGUUCCUGACACUGAGGCACGAAGGCCAGGGAGCAAACGGG
rnacentral:rRNA from 1 species